GGAGGGGUCGCAUAGUUGGCCUAGUGCGCGCGCUUGGAAAGCGCGUAUUCUUCACGGAAUCGUGGGUUCGAAUCCCACCCCCUCCG
rnacentral:tRNA from 1 species